CUUUAUAUUGUUUUGAUUCAGUUUUUUUUAAAAUAAAGUAAAUUAAAUAAGUAGCCUAUACUUUGAAGAACUUAAAAAUAUAUAUUAUUGUCUACAAAAAUUGUGUUACACACAAACACAUAUAUAUAUAUAUAUAUAUAUACAUAACAUACUGCAAAACGCGUGAUCUAUUUAAACAUUUUGUUUAAAAGGUAUUUAAUACCAUUCAUUAUUUAUUUACUUAUUUAUUUUUUUUUUUUUUUAUUUAUUUUUUUUUUAUUUUUUUUUUUUUUCUUGUUGGAGGGGAAGACAUAACAAAUGGCAAUGUCAAAUGUGCAAAAAAUUAUUUUUUAUUUAUGUCUAAUCUUGUUCGUAAUUACUCCUUCACGAGAAAAGAAUGGGUUAAGUAUCGAAUCUCAUGAAAAAAAUGAAAAAAAUAACAAUGUACAGGCUAGCAGUAACAAAGCGCGUAACAUUGUUGCAAAAUUACGCUUUUUAGAAAAAAUAGAAAAAAUUUUGGAAAAAAAUAAUUUGGGUGUUAUGGAUGUAAAUUUAGAUCCAAAUGCUUAUAAUCCAAAUAAAGAUGCUCCUAAAAGUGAACUCGCAAAAAUAAAACUGAAUGAAAAAGAAGAAUCUGAGGCAUAUGAUAAUAAGAAGUCCAGUUUAAAUAAUUUAUCAGAAAAUAAAGUAAAUAAAAUUAAAAAAAACAAAGCGUUACGUUUAAUGGUUAGCGAGAAUCAUGCAACAAGUCCAUCUUUUUUUGAAGAGUCUCUUUUACAAGAAGAUGUAAUAAAUUUUAUUCAUAGUAAAGGCAAAGUAUUCCAUUUACCUAACAUGAAGUUUAUGUUAAUAGAUUUACAUAGUAAUACAAACGAUGAAGAAUUAGAAUUGUAUAUCAAUAUUUUGGAAAAUAAAGGAGCGCACGUUGAACCUGACCAAUUAGUUGGUGGUGAUGAUUUGGAUUUAACAUCUAUAAUGAAUGCAGUAAGGAAUGGAGAAAAAGAUAUAGACUUAAAAAAAUAUAGCUAUGAUAAUGUAUUAGAAACAGAACAAAAUGAUGAUAAACCAUUAUUAGGUAAAUCUAUUACUACAGGUGAUAAUAAUUAUACUACCACAAACGCUAAUGAUAGUAUUCGUUUUAGUAGUACUAGUAAUAAUAGUAAUCAAAAAGAAGAAUACGAUCAUACAUAUUUAAAAUCAAACAAAAAUAAAAUAUAUAAAUUUAAUGAUGAGUAUCGAAAUCUCCAAUGGGGCUUAGAUUUAUCCAAAUUAGAUGAAGCACAGGAAGUAAUUAAGCAUAAUCAACAAGUAACUACUAAAAUUUGUGUUAUAGAUAGUGGAGUAGAUUACAAUCACCCUGAUUUAAAAAAUAAUAUAGAUGUAA
rnacentral:lncRNA from 1 species